rnacentral:ncRNA from 2 species
CGAGGUGCCCUGACGGCCGGCUCAUCGGAAACGUUGAGCAUGCGUCGGAGGGGAGAAUCUGGGAAGCCGGUGAAAGUCCGGCACAGGCCCGCUGCGGUGAAUCAGGCCCCUCUCGAGGGGACCUGACAAGUCCGAAGACCGGCCUCG